rnacentral:misc_RNA from 1 species
UUUCCGUAGGUGAACCUGCGGAAGGAUCAUUAUUGUAUAACCGGGGUGAGAGGGCUGUCGCUGACCCGAAAGGUCGUGCACGCACGAGUGCCCUCACACACAUCCAUCUCACCCCUAUGUGCACCACCGCGUGGGUCCCCCUUUGGCUUGUUCGGAGGGGGGCUUACGUUUUCACACUAACUUUGUAUGCAGUGUAGAAUGUAUUUUUUGUUUUUGCGAUCACGCAAUCAAUACAACUUUCAACAACGGAUCUCUUGGCUCUC